UACAGAGGUCUCAAGCGUUGUUCGGAUUCAUUGGGCGUAAAGGGUGCGUAGGCGGCGUGGUAAGUCGGAUGUGAAAUCUCCAGGCUCAACCUGGAGGGGUCAUUCGAUACUGCCGUGACUAGAGUUCGGUAGAGGAGUGUGGAAUUCCUGGUGGAGCGGUGAAAUGCGCAGAGAUCAGGAGGAACACCCGUAGCGAAGGCGGCACUCUGGGCCGAUACUGACACUGAGGAGCGAAAGCGUGGGGAGCGAACAGG
rnacentral:rRNA from 1 species